UACGUAGGGGGCAAGCGUUGUCCGGAAUUAUUGGGCGUAAAGGGCUCGUAGGCGGUUUGUCACGUCGGGAGUGAAAACUCAGGGCUCAACCCUGAGCGUGCUUCCGAUACCGGCAGACUAGAGGUAUGCAGGGGAGAACGGAAUUCCUGGUGUAGCGGUGGAAUGCGCAGAUAUCAGGAGGAACACCGGUGGCGAAGGCGGUUCUCUGGGCAUUACCUGACGCUGAGGAGCGAAAGCAUGGGGAGCGAACAGG
rnacentral:rRNA from 1 species